UACGGGAGGCAGCAGUGGGGAAUUUUGGACAAUGGGGGAAACCCUGAUCCAGCAAUGCCGCGUGUGCGAUGAAGGCCUUAGGGUUGUAAAGCACUUUUGUCAGGGAAGAAAAGAGUUGUGCUAAUAUCAUGACUCGAUGACGGUACCUGAAGAAUAAGCACCGGCUAACUACGUGCCAGCAGCCGCGGUAAUACGUAGGGUGCAAGCGUUAAUCGGAAUUACUGGGCGUAAAGCGUGCGCAGGCGGUUAUAUAAGAUUGGUGUGAAAUCCCCGAGCUCAACUUGGGAACUGCACUGAUGACUGUAUAACUAGAAUAUGAAAGAGGGGGGUAGAAUUCCACGUGUAGCAGUGAAAUGCAUAGAGAUGUGGAGGAAUACCAAUGGCGAAGGCAGCCCCCUGGGUCAAUAUUGACGCUCAUGCACGAAAGCGUGGGGAGCAAACAGGAUUAGAUACCCU
rnacentral:rRNA from 1 species